GCACAAGCGGUGGAUGAUGUGGAUUAAUUCGAUGCAACGCGAAGAACCUUACUACCCUUGACAUGUCCGGAACUUGCCAGAGAUGGCUUGGUGCCGAAAGGGAAUCGGAACACAGGUGCUGCAUGGCUGUCGUCAGCUCGUGUCGUGAGAUGUUGGGUUAAGUCCCGCAACGAGCGCAACCCUUAUCAUUAGUUGCUACGCAAGGGCACUCUAAUGAGACUGCCGGUGACAAACCGGAGGAAGGUGGGGAUGACGUCAAGUCCUCAUGGCCCUUAUGGGUAGGGCUUCACACGUCAUACAAUGGUCGGUACAGAGGGUUGCCAAGCCGCGAGGCGGAGCCAAUCCCACAAAGCCGAUCGUAGUCCGGAUUGUUCUCUGCAACUCGAGAGCAUGAAGUCGGAAUCGCUAGUAAUCGCAGGUCAGCAUACUGCGGUGAAUACGUUCCCGGGUCUU
rnacentral:rRNA from 1 species